GAAAAUAACUAUGAUUCCCUUAGUAACGGCGAGUGAACAGGGAGAAGCCCAAAUUUGUAAUCUGGCACUUUUUACAAGUGUCCGAGUUGUAAUUUGUAGAACUGUUAUCCGUGCUGGACCAUGUACAAGUCUGUUGAAAAGCAGCAUCGUUGAAGGUGAAAAUCCUGUAGAUGAUAUGGACUACCAGUACUCUUGUGAUACGGUUUCUAAGAGUCGAGUUGUUUGGGAAUGCAGCUCAAAGUGGGUGGUAAAUUCCAUCUAAGGCUAAAUAUAAGUGAGAGACCGAUAGCAAACAAGUACCGUGAGGGAAAGAUGAAAAGAACUUUGAAAAUAGAGUUAACAGUACGUGAAAUUGCUGAAAGGUAAACGUUUGAAGUUAGUUUUGUAUUCGUUGGAUCAGCUUCGCAAGGAGUGUAUUCUGAUGAUAAGCAAGUCAACAUCAGUCUAUGAGUGUUGGAGAAGGGUUUUGAGAAUGUAGCAAUUUAAUUGUGUUAUAGCUUGAGACUUGGAUACGAUGCUUUGGAUUGAGGAACGCGUAGUAAGCUUUGAGCGGAUUCGAAAGGAUCUCCUUACUUUGGAUGUUGGUGAAAUAACUUUAAGCGACC
rnacentral:rRNA from 1 species